rnacentral:rRNA from 1 species
AGUGAACGCUGGCGGUAGGCCUAACACAUGCAAGUCGAACGGCAGCACAGUAAGAGCUUGCUCUUACGGGUGGCGAGUGGCGGACGGGUGAGGAAUACAUCGGAAUCUACUUUUUCGUGGGGGAUAACGUAGGGAAACUUACGCUAAUACCGCAUACGACCUACGGGUGAAAGCAGGGGAUCUUCGGACCUUGCGCGAUUGAAUGAGCCGAUGUCGGAUUAGCUAGUUGGCGGGGUAAAGGCCCACCAAGGCGACGAUCCGUAGCUGGUCUGAGAGGAUGAUCCGCCACACUGGAACUGGGACAAGGUUCCGACUCCUAAGGGAGGCAGCAGUGGGGAAUAUUGGACAAUGGGGGCAAGCCUGAUCCAGCCAUACCGCGUGGGUGAAGAAGGCCUUCGGGUUGUAAAGCCCUUUUGUUGGGAAAGAAAAGCAGCAGGUUAAUACCCCGCUGUUCUGACGGUACCCAAAGAAUAAGCACCGGCUAACUUCGUG